rnacentral:rRNA from 1 species
GCAGCGAAACCGCGAGGUCAAGCAAAUCCCAUAAAGUUGUUCUCAGUUCGGAUUGUAGUCUGCAACUCGACUACAUGAAGCUGGAAUCGCUAGUAAUCGUAGAUCAGCAUGCUACGGUGAAUACGUUCCCGGGUCUUGUACACACCGCCCGUCACACCACGAGAGUUUGUAACACCCGAAGCCGGUGGAGUAACCUUUUAGGAGCUAGCCGUCGAAGGUGGGACAAAUGAUUGGGGUGAAGUCGUAACAAGGUAGCCGUAUCGGAAGGUGCGGCUGGAUCACCUCCUUUCUAAGGA